UACGUAGGGGGCAAGCGUUGUCCGGAAUUAUUGGGCGUAAAGGGUGCGUAGGCGGUUUGGUAAGUCUGAUGUGAAAUCUAUGGGCUCAACUCAUAGUCUGCAUCGGAAACUGCCGGGCUUGAGUGUGGGAGAGGUGAGUGGAAUUCCUGGUGUAGCGGUGAAAUGCGUAGAUAUCGGGAGGAACACCGGUGGCGAAGGCGGUUCUCUGGGCCUUACCUGACGCUGAGGAGCGAAAGCGUGGGGAGCGAACAGG
rnacentral:rRNA from 1 species